rnacentral:lncRNA from 1 species
GUCCUAUCCGGGCGGGGCGGGGAAGACGAAAAGCUCUUGGUGAGGCUGGGCCUUUCUGGGGACGAUGCCGUCCGCAUUCUCAGUGAGCUCGUUCCCCGUCAGCAUCCCCGCCGUGAUCAUGCAGACAGACUGGACGGAGCCGUGGCUGGUCGGGCUGGUCAUCUUCCACGUACUCUGCCUGCUGCUCACCUGCUUCUCAUCCCGGAGCCUCCUGCUGUGUGAAUACAUUUGUAAGGCUUCCAGCUGUGCCUGUCCUGGCGGGAAGUGCCAACCAGGAAGCAAAGUUCUGGGCAUAAAAUGACGUGGUGCCCAAGUCAGUUUUAAAGAUAAUGAGAAGGAGCAGAGUUGUGUGGCAUCCCCACGGAGAAGGAGUGGAGGCUGCAGGUGGCAGUCGUCCACCACCUCCGGUCCCUGUGCAGCUCUUGGCCUCCUGCCCUGGUCCCCACCCCAGCCCGUACCACCAGGGAGGGCCACCCAGGGGCUGGGCUGUUCCUGCUGCUCCUGUUAUCCUCAGGCCAGAUCCCCCCCCCCCCCCCCCCCCCCCCCGCCCCCGUCUUUGCCACCAGCGCAAGUCUGAGGGGCCAGGCAGGGGACCCCAGCCCUUGCCCCAGGGCCCUCGGGUCCCACCACUGGCCUUGCCAGCUGACCUGUGACCAGGUGGGGCAGGCCGGCCUGCUCUGGUGUCUGGCCGGAAGCUCCUGCCGAGGGUGUGCCCAGCGGACUGACCAUCAGACUCCGUGUUCGCCUGGGUUUCCCUUCGAGUGGCUGCCUUCUGUCAGCGACAACAGGAACAGGUCUCAGCAGAUCCCUCUGUGCUGUAGCUGUCGCUUCUUUCCUCUCAGUGACGCUGGUCUACUGCGCCGAGUACAUCAAUGAGGUUGCGGCCAUGAACUGGAGGUCCUUCUCAAAGUACCAGUAUUUCGACUCGAGGGGGAUGUUCGUGUCCCUGGUCUUCUCGGCACCGCUGCUGCUCAACGCCCUGGCCAUCGUGAUCCUGUGGGUGCGCAAGACGCUGGCGGUGAUGAGCGACCUGAGGACCUUACAGCAGCGCCGGGGGCGGCCGAAGCAGCAGUGACGGCUCUGCCCCCGGCUGGCGCCUGGGCAUCCAGACCCGCCCCGCGUCCCGAGACGCUUGGGCUGGCUUUGAAGGGCGCUCGCCCGGCCUGGGUCCACCCAGAAGGUCUGAGUCUCCCUAGUUAAACUGUAAACGGAGCCCCUGCAGUCAAGCCUGAGCUCGGGACACCCUGUCUGUCCAUGUGGGAGGGUUGAGGGGUGGACAGCGCCAUCCACGCGUGGGCACCCCCAUUGGCCCCUGUCACCCCCACCCUCCCCGUCAGCCCCCUGUCACCUCUAUCACUCCCCCAUCACCCCUGUCACCCCCAUGCUCCCCGUCAGCCCCCUGUCACGGUCACCCCUGUCACCCCUGUCACUGCCAUCACCCUGGUCUGGCCUUCGUGGCGACGGCCUCUCCAGGCAGGGCUGCCGCUGGACAGGGCAGGAGGGGCCGCCUGGCCUCUGUGCAGUUGGAGGCGUCACGGCGCCGGCGGAGGCCGGAGUCGGGAUCUUCAGAGGCGGCAGCCGCGCGAGCCCCUUGAGUUGUGCUUCAGGAAGGAACGUCGCCAUUAAAACAGUCAGCAGCUGCCUGGUUCAACUAAGAGGUUUUAUGGCAAAUACCGAGACGGGUUCUGUCCCUUGGUUCCUGCCUCUUACAUUCUGCUCGGGGACAUGCCACCGCCUCUUCUGUUGGAGCAGGUGCGCUGAUUCGGUGUCACGGCCGCGCUGCGGACUAGACCUGCAGCUGGAGGGUGGGGGCCGCAUGUCUAAACUCAGCGUUUGAGAAAGAGGAGGCGGUUGGCUCCUGAUGGGGUUUGAAAAAAUAGCUUGCGAGCCUUCCUGCUGUGACUCAAAGGGAUCAGCGGCAUCUCUGCAGCGCUGGGCGCGGGUUUGAUCCCUGGCCGGGUGCAGUGGGUUAAGGCUCUGACAGGGCUGCAGCUGCAGUGUAGGUCACGCUGGGACGUGGCUCUGAUCCUGGCCCAGGAAAGCCAUGUGCCAUGGGGUGGCCUGAAAAAAAGAGAGGAAGUAGUUUAUGAAUAGUUGUCUUAAUUUUAAGAAGAUGUUUUCCCUUAAAUGAAGUAUAUUUUUCAAAUUUCAAAAGAAAAAAAAUUGGUCACGUGAAAGCAUUAUAUUUAGUGGUUCAGAGGGUAACACUGCUGGAUGAUGGGAUUAAAUCUUGAAAUCCAGACGUAAAGACAGCUGUAAACUCUUAGCAGAGAAAUUAUUUCCUUAAUUUUGACGUUGGUUUUAGAACCGAGUCGAUAGAACUUCCUAGAUCAAUCUCUUGGAGCUUUUAACCUCACAUCCUUUCUUGAUGUGAACGUCUGUACUGAACAUUGAAAAAAUUGACUCAGCAACAGCAUGUCACGUGAAAUCCAGUUUUAGAUGUCUUGCACCUGAUGACAUCCUGAGGGUGCGUUGCUGAAAGUGACCAGUUCAGGGUGUUCCUUGGUGUCCUGGCUUCAGAAGAGUCGCCUGCAUCUGAGCAGCUCCCGGGAGCCCACAGCGGCAGGGGCUGCGGGCGGGGUCGAGUGUCCCCUCCAGCGCCGGCCUGGGGCCAGGGGACAGAAGUGCCCGUGGCAACGUCCUGCCCUUGCCCUCGGCCCCUCGGAGCCCAGGGAGUGCAGGCAUUUCCACCAUCCGGAGCCACUCCUGUCAGCGCGAGACUGUGACUGGCUCUCAGCUGUCCUGUGAAGACCGGGUAAUGACAUCGUCAUUGGCCUGGAUGUGGGGUCAGACGUCCCGUCGAAAAACACGACGUAGGGCCUUUUUGUUCACUGGUGUGUGUAAGUUUUGGGGAAUCGUUGUGUUUUAUUUUCACAAACACAACCUGUUUUUAAAACUUUUAGUAGGUUUCUCUCCAGUGGCUUAAAGGGCAGUGUUUACGAACACCAGGCGUCCUCAUGCUUGGGACACACUCCAAGCCGUCGCUGUCCCAGCACUUCAGGUCACCUCAAGUGUGGGGACUGUGGCCCUUUCGGGGCAUGGGGGUGCUGCUGGGGCUUGGGGCCUCCAGGCGGGUGGAAGGGCAGCCUGUGUCUGUCAUCUGCGGACGAGAAGACGAGAGACACGCGUGGUCAAGGCGCAUUUAGCCCGUUCCAGACCUGCGACCUUCAGUUUGUCAGUUGCUGUGUAAUAAAGUCUUAUUUUAUUUCAAG